rnacentral:rRNA from 1 species
UACGUAGGGGGCUAGCGUUGUCCGGAAUCAUUGGGCGUAAAGAGCGUGUAGGCGGCCCGGUAAGUCCGCUGUAAAAGUCAAAGGCUCAACCUUUGAAUGUCAGUGGAUACUGCCGGGCUAGAGUCCGGAAGAGGCGAGUGGAACUCCCGGUGUAGCGGUGAAAUGCGUAGAUAUUGGGAAGAACACCAGAGGCGAAGGCGGGUUGCUGGGCUGAUACUGACGCUGAGGCGCGAAAGCCCAGGGGAGCGAACGGG